GACGAACGCUGGCGGCGUGCCUAAUACAUGCAAGUAGAACGCUGAAGAGAGGAGCUUACUCUUCUUGGAUGAGUUGCGAACGGGUGAGUAACGCGUAGGUAACCUGCCUUGUAGCGGGGGAUAACUAUUGGAAACGAUAGCUAAUACCGCAUAACAAUGGAUGACACGUGUCAUUUAUUUGAAAGGGGCAAUUGCUCCACUACAAGAUGGACCUGCGUUGUAUUAGCUAGUAGGUGAGGUAAUGGCUCACCUAGGCGACGAUACAUAGCCGACCUGAGAGGGUGAUCGGCCACACUGGGACUGAGACACGGCCCAGACUCCUACGGGAGGCAGCAGUAGGGAAUCUUCGGCAAUGGGGGCAACCCUGACCGAGCAACGCCGCGUGAGUGAAGAAGGUUUUCGGAUCGUAAAGCUCUGUUGUAAGUCAAGAACGGGUGUGAGAGUGGAAAGUUCACACUGUGACGGUAGCUGACCAGAAAGGGACGGCUAACUACGUG
rnacentral:rRNA from 1 species